GGAAGGACAACACAACACGAAGUCUCAAACACAGCUGAAAUUCAGCUUCGUUUGAGACUUCGUGUUGUGUUGUCCUUUUU
rnacentral:pre_miRNA from 1 species